AUUGAACGCUGGCGGCAGGCCUAACACAUGCAAGUCGAACGAGUGGCGGACGGGUGAGUAAUGUCUGGGAAACUGCCUGAUGGAGGGGGAUAACUACUGGAAACGGUAGCUAAUACCGCAUACCAUCGGAUGUUCCCAGAUGGGAUUAGCUAGUAGGUGGGGUAAAGGCUCACCUAGGCGACGCUCCCUAGCUGGUCUGAGCGGAUGACCAGCCACCCUGGAACUGAUACACGGACCAGACUCCUACGGGAGGCACCAGUGGGGAAUAUUUCACAAUCGCGGCAACCCUGAUGCAGCCAUGGCGCGUGUAUGCAGAAGGCCUUCGGGUUGUAAAGUACUGUCAGCCGGGAGGCGUUACCCGCAGUAGAAGCACCGGCUAACUCCGUGCCAGCCGCCGCGGUAAUUC
rnacentral:rRNA from 1 species